rnacentral:rRNA from 1 species
UACGAAGGUGGCAAGCGUUACUCGGAAUUACUAGGCGUAAAGGGCAGGUAGGUGGUUUGGUCAGUCUGUUGUGAAAGCUCCCGGCUUAACCGGGAGAGGCCAACGGAUACUACCAGACUUGAGUAUAGGAGAGGGUGCUGGAAUUCCCGGUGUAGCGGUGAAAUGCGCAGAGAUCGGGAGGAACACCAAUGGCGAAAGCAGGCACCUGGACUAUUACUGACACUCAACUGCGAAAGCUAGGGGAGCAAACAGG